UUCUCAUUUCAUUUGGCCGAUGGUUUCCCUCCGGCCGAGAAUUUUCCUAGGAUCAGUCAACAGUGGAUCACUGAACCGGUGCUACCUUCACAAACAGAUGCAACAACAAUCAGAGUGGAAGGUGGGUCAGUGGAAAUGAUCCAAAGGAUGAAUGAAUCCACUGCUCAAAAGGCUAAACCAAUUAUCAGUGCUAUUGGUCCUUGCUGGUUAUCACGUCCCCUAAGUCUCGUCUGCAUCACUGCUGUGCUCCACCCACCACACCAGCCAUUAUUAGGUAAUCAUCUUGCUUUCAUUCAAUCUUUCAUUAAUCCUUUCUACAGGAUAACUAGUCUAAAUUAUGCCAUGAUUUUAUUAUAUAUCACGUGAUAAUGAAAUAUGAAUUUGUUCAUUUUUUAUCCAUUCCUUCUCUGGGGUAGUUUCAU